GAUGAACGCUAGCGGCAGGCUUAAUACAUGCAAGUCGAGGGGCAGCGCAGUGUAGCAAUACAUGGGCGGCGACCGGCAAACGGGUGCGGAACACGUACGCAACCUUCCUUUAAGUGGGGGAUAGCCCAGGGAAACUUGGAUUAAUACCCCGUAAUAUUAUGAAGUGGCAUCACUUUAUACUUAUAGCUCCGGCGCUUAAAGAUGGGCGUGCGACUGAUUAGGUAGUUGGCGGGGUAACGGCCCACCAAGCCUGCGAUCAGUAACUGGGUGUGAGAGUACGACCAGUCACACGGGCACUGAGACACGGGCCCGACUCCUACGGGAGGCAGCAGUAAGGAAUAUUGGUCAAUGGACGCAAGUCUGAACCAGCCAUGCCGCGUGGAGGAUGAAGGUCCUCUGGAUUGUAAACUUCUUUUAUUUGGGAAGAAACCCACUGUUUCUACGGUGGUUGACGGUACCAGAUGAAUAAGCACCGGCUAACUCCGUGCCAGCAGCCGCCGCGGUAA
rnacentral:rRNA from 1 species